AUGGUGUACUCGGCGGACCCGCAGUUCCUGCGGUUCCUCCAGGAGGGAAUAACCUGUGACUCAGUGUUGGCUAUGGGGGUGACGGUGCGGGUGGAGAUCACCCAACUCAGCUGGAAUUCCAGGAAGGAGGUCAUCGACUGGCUCAACUUGCUCAUCUCAGAAAGCAGCGGCCAGGCAUCCAAUGGAGGCGCUGCUAACCCGGUGAAUUCAGUGCCUGUGCAAGAGAUCUGCAUAACCAACGAACAGGCCCCUGUCCCUGCUAUCGACGAACAGCAAGUGAUCGACCUUACCAUGUCUGACGACUAA
rnacentral:rRNA from 1 species